rnacentral:rRNA from 1 species
UAAAUUUAGAGUUUGAUCCUAGCUCAGGAUGAACGCUGGCGGCGUGGAUGAGGCAUGCAAGUCAAACGGGCUCACUUUAUGUAGCAAUACAUGUUGUGAAUCAGUGGCAGACGAGGUAGUAACACGUAGGAACCUACUCCCAAGUCGGGAAUAAUUCCGCGAAAGCGGAACUAAUACUCGAUAAUAUCCCUGCCCCGUUUUACGGGGUGAGGAUUAAAGAAGCAAUUCGCUUAGGAAAGGGCCUGCGGAGUAUCAGCUUGUUGGUAGGGUAAUGGCCUACCAAGGCAAUGACGCUUAGGGGACCUGAGAGGGUGACCCCCACCGAUGGAACUGAGACACGGUCCAUACACCUACGGGUGGCAGUAGCCGAGAAUAUUCGACAAUGGGCGAAAGCCUGAUCGAGCGACGCCGCGUGAUGGAUGAAGUCCCUAGGGACGUAAACAUCUUUUAUGAAGGAGAAAGUAUCCCGAUUUAUCGGGGUAUUGAUAGUACUUCAUGAAUAAGGGGUUGCUAAACUCGUGCCAGCAGCAGCGGUAAUACGAGUACCCCAAGCGUUAUCCGGAAUCAUUGGGCGUAAAGGGUGUGUAGGUGGUCUGGUUAGUCUUCUGUCAAAAUCUCGGGCUCAACCCGAGACCUGCGGAGGAAACGGCCAGACUGGAGGGUGCGAGAGGUGAAUGGAACUCAUGGAGUAGGGGUGAAAUCCGUUGAUAUCAUGGGGAACACC